ACCUAGCGGCGGACGGGUGAGUAAUGCUUAGGAAUCUGCCUAUUAGUGGGGGACAACAUUCCGAAAGGAAUGCUAAUACCGCAUACGUCCUACGGGAGAAAGCAGGGGAUCUUCGGACCUUGCGCUAAUAGAUGAGCCUAAGUCGGAUUAGCUAGUUGGUGGGGUAAAGGCCUACCAAGGCGACGAUCUGUAGCGGGUCUGAGAGGAUGAUCCGCCACACUGGGACUGAGACACGGCCCAGACUCCUACGGGAGGCAGCAGUGGGGAAUAUUGGACAAUGGGCGGAAGCCUGAUCCAGCCAUGCCGCGUGUGUGAAGAAGGCCUUUUGGUUGUAAAGCACUUUAAGCGAGGAGGAGGCUACUCUAGUUAAUACCUAG
rnacentral:rRNA from 1 species